rnacentral:rRNA from 1 species
UACGAAGGGGGCUAGCGUUGCUCGGAUUUACGGGGCGUAAAGGGCGCGUAGGCGGACAGUUAAGUUGGGGGUGAAAGCCCGGGGCUCAACCUCGGAAUUGCCUUCAAUACUGGCUGUCUUGAGUGUGAGAGAGGUGUGUGGAACUCCGAGUGUAGAGGUGAAAUUCGUAGAUAUUCGGAAGAACACCAGUGGCGAAGGCGACACACUGGCUCACUACUGACGCUGAGGCGCGAAAGCGUGGGGAGCAAACAGG